GAUGAACGCUGGCGGUAUGCCUAACACAUGCAAGUCGAACGGAGUUCUUCGGAACUUAGUGGCGGACGGGGGAGUAACACGUGAGAACCUGCCUUCAGAAUGGGGACAACAGUUGGAAACGACUGCUAAUACCCAAUGUGCCGAAAGGUGAAAGAUUUAUCGUCUGAAGAUGGGCUCGCGUCUGAUUAGCUAGAUGGGAGGGUAAGAGCCUACCAUGGCAACGAUCAGUAGCUGGGCGGAGAGGAUGAGCAGCCACACUGGGACUGAGACACGGCCCAGACGCCUACGGGAGGCAGCGGUUAGGCAUGUUCCGCAAUGGGCGAAAGCCUGACGGAGCAAUACCGCGUGAGGGAGGAAGGUCCUUGGAUUGUAAACCUCUUUUAUCAGGGAAGAAGUUCUGACGGUACCUGAUGAAGAAGCAUCGGCUAACUCCGUGCCAGCCGCCGCCGUAACAC
rnacentral:rRNA from 1 species